CCAUGUUGCAAGUGAUGAAAAUUACGUUGGUAGGGACAUCUGAAUCAACCUGAAGUAACGCCAACUAUACUGACAGCACGUGG